rnacentral:lncRNA from 1 species
AAAAGCCUUAUUUCUAUUUCCCAUCAUUGAAGAGUAAAACCUGUUGAACUGUACUCUUAGAUAAAAAUAAAAAUAAAAAUAAAAAUAAAAAUAAAAAUAAAAAUAUUUAAAAAGGAGAAAUUCCUUUUGAUCUUUGAUCGUAUGAAUAUGUGUUUUUAUCUCUAUAAAGCAAGAAACUCAUAUAUAUAUAUAUAUAUAUAUAAGAAAAUGAGGAGCAUUAAAUCACAUCAUAAAGGUAUGAUUUUCUUUCUUCAAAAUCACAACAAACCUAAAGUGGUGUCAUGGAGCAUUAAGUCACAUCAAUUAUCAUAAUGAAUAAAAUCAAAUUUUCAUUAACCCUUAACUGUAACUUACUAGCAAAAAAUAUUAAUAUCGGUGGGAUUUACAUGGAGUGAUCACCAGCCCUCAUAGAUGCUUCGACGGGCUCCUCGGCUAAG